UGAUGCUGUCUUGGGUCAAGAAGUGCCAGUCAAAAUCACUUUCCAGAAUCCACUGCCUUGUGUCCUGAAGAACUCUGUAUUCCGCUUUGUGGGACUUGGACAGCAGCAUGCCAGAGUUGUCAACUAUGGUGACAUUGCAGGGAAUUCCACAGUGUGCCUGACAGAGAAGUUUAUUCCCACGUGUCACGGCCCACAGAAACUUCUGGUCUCAUUGGACUCUCCUCAGCUCACUCAGGUUCAUGGAUUCUCCAACAUUGCUGUCAAACAGCAUUGUUAAACCAAUCAAAUAAACAAAACAGAAGAAACGUCAUGGCUCCAUUGAAUAGAAAGCAUUCACACUGAAAUGAUUUGCAGAGUUAGAUAACAGCUGUUAGUUUCUCUUAACUUUCAGGUUGUUAACCUUAAACGUCUCACAAUGCAUUUAAUCAUGAUGUAGGACAAUUGCACUAAUGCUUUAUGCAAGACAUUAUUGUCUUUUCAUCUUUUCUGAUUUUAAGUAUAGUCUUUCUGAAAUUGCCUUUUAUGAGUCUGAAAGCUUAUAAAUGUAAUUCUGAAUAGUCAUUAACCAGUUUUUCCUCAUUUGAAAACUCGAGUAAUGUAAUCAUGGUGUUGGUUACUCUGUCCUGUGUAGCU